CACUCGGCCCUCCGUGGAAUGAGUUUGACACAUUCUUAAUUAACGCCAUGAAAAACAAUAAAACAGCCCUUUACUAAUCGUGACUUGUCAAUAUUCUAGGACCUGAAUGUUUGAUGCUUUGAAUAAGUAUGCGACUUUACCUGCCAGAAUAAAUCAUCCCUGAUGACCACAGAAAGUUGUACAAUUGCCAACAGGAAACUAGUUAACAUUUCACCAUUGAGGAUAUGCAUUGACUCCGGUGGAGUGGUCUGCAUGUCAUUCCAGUAACGCUGUGGUGAAAUCAAACGGAGAGAACAUUGUCAGCUCAGUGGAGGGGAGGCCCAGUCUGCUGCUUUCUCCCUCUGGAGAAGAGUUCUCCGUAGGCUUCACCUGCACGUUUAGUCACAAUGCCAUAGGCCUCGGAGCCAAGAGCCAGUCACUGAACACACAAGACAACCAAACCUGUAGGUCAAAGACUCCUUCUCAAAGAAGUAACACGUGCUGAGCAGCCCAAGGAUCCUGAACUUCUACAACCAGCCAAGGCACUCUGAAGCUCCCUGCUACACCGAGCUGUUUGAACAAGCUCUGUCCAGUUCUAUUGGAGAACCGUCAUCUUCUCGAGAGGGGUUCUACAGGGGUGGGCUGUGGUUCGAGCGGUUCUAAAGAGAACGUGGCCCACUGUGAGCCGGUCAGCAGGAGCAGCAUCGAGGAGGCCCUCCAGAACCAGGAUAUCGACAACCUCCUCCCUGUAUGAUGGGUAAAACAGUCCUGCAUAAAACAAGACUUCUUGAAAAUGAGGAACAUAAAUAUGAAUUGGAUUCAGUUUCAUCAAGUAACACUUGUCAGCAUCAAAUGCAACAUCAUCUAGUGCAGUUUUAUCGCUUCUUUACUUGCAGUUGAAGUACAGACUGCAGAAAAAAUUAAGUUUCCCAUGAUUGAGAGGCUUAGAUACAGCUCAGUUGGUAGAGCAUAGUGCUUGCCACGCCAAGAUAGUGGGUUUGAUUCCCGGGACCAACCAUACAUAAAAUGUAUGCAUGUAUGACUAACUCGCUUUGGGUAAAAGUGUGUGCUAAAUAUUAUAUAUAGAAGGUCAUGGUAUUGGCGCCUGUAACUUUAAUGUUCAGCCUCAACCCAUGGAUGGUUAGACAGUGGUUAGACCAGAUUCAAUGGAAAGAGGAUGGUGUGUCGUGUUGACACUAGGCAGCAGUUAGACAAUUUUAUUGGAAUAAUUAUUUUACAAUCUGCACUGUCUUCAUAUCAUGAGGUUUCUUAUAGAGUGACAAUCAUGACUAAUAAGUCAUUUAAAUAAAUUAAACUCAUCUCAUCUGUGUGGUUCCAUUUGACCUAGAGUUGUCAGUGCUCUGUGAAGAGUACAGUUUGAUAAUAAAAGAACGAACAAGCGACAUGAUGCCCCAUUUUAAAAAAAUCCAAUUCCUCUGUUUUUGGUGGUCUCGUAAAAUAGAAAUGCAAAAAAAGAACUCAAAGUACUGGACUAUAAUGUAUAUUUGAAACGGUUGAACUUGAAAAAUAAAGCUAUGUUUAAAAUAAA